rnacentral:rRNA from 1 species
CACGUAGGGCGCAAGCGUUGUCCGGAAUUAUUGGGCGUAAAGAGCUCGUAGGCGGACUGUUGCGUCCGCUGUGAAAAGCUGGGGCUUAACCCUGGCCUUGCAGUGGAUACGGGCAGACUAGAGGUAGGUAGGGGAGAAUGGAAUUCCCGGUGUAGCGGUGAAAUGCGCAGAUAUCGGGAGGAACACCGGUGGCGAAGGCGGGUCUCUGGGCCGAUACUGACGCUGAGGAGCGAAAGCGUGGGGAGCGAACAGG